rnacentral:misc_RNA from 1 species
UGCGCGAAUCCGGUGUAGAACCACAUGCCCUCGAAGCAGACAUAGAAGGUGAUCAGGUCGCGGAGCAGCGCACGGUCGGCUUCCGGCGUGCCGGUCUUGAAGUCCGGGUCUUCCAGAUUCUGGGUGUGCUUGAGCGCCCACGCCGCCUNGUGAUCGAAGGCACCUCGCGAUACAUGUUGAACAGCUCGCCCUCAUCGAGGCCGAGGCUUUCCACGAUGUACUGGAAGGUGUGGGUGUGGGUCGCUUCCUCGCACGCCCGCCGCAGCAGGUACUUGCCGGACUCCGGGAUGGGCCGGGGG